rnacentral:lncRNA from 1 species
UCGAGACAAUUAAUCCUAAGCAAUUAACCAAGUUGUCCGACAUGUCAUUGGUCCCUCGACGCUUCGUCCGAUUCUUCGGCUCAUCGUCCUCUCCUGCGGCCUAUUGCCCAAUCGGCCAGUUGACUCCGCAACUCCGAUAUCCUUGGCGCAAUACCCGCUCUUCUUGGCCUGAUGCCCGAGUCCACGGCCCGAAGCCUUCUGUCGAUACGUCGACCGAUCCACCGGCCCGAUGUCCAAUCUUCUGACAUGUUCCUUCGGCACAACAUGAUUUUCCUGCUUUAAUUGUCU